UACAGAGGGGGCAAGCGUUGUUCGGAAUUACUGGGCGUAAAGGGCGCGUAGGCGGCCUGUUAAGUCGAACGUGAAAUCCCCGGGCUCAACCCGGGAACUGCGUCCGAUACUGGCAGGCUUGAAUUCGGGAGAGGGAUGUGGAAUUCCAGGUGUAGCGGUGAAAUGCGUAGAUAUCUGGAGGAACACCGGUGGCGAAGGCGGGUCUCUGGGCCGAUACUGACGCUGAGGAGCGAAAGCGUGGGGAGCGAACAGG
rnacentral:rRNA from 1 species